UCGAGAAUCUUCGGCAAUGAGCGCAAGCUUGACCGAGCGACGCCGCGUGCGGGAUGAAGGCCUUCGGGUUGUAAACCGCUGUCAGAGGGGACGAAGUGCUAGUGGGUACUCUCAUUAGCUUGACUGAUCCUCAAAGGAAGGGUGGGCUAAGUUCGUGCCAGCAGCCGCGGUAAGACGUACCACCCGAACGUUAUUCGGAUUUACUGGGCUUAAAGAGUCCGUAGGCGGCCAAGUAAGUUGGAUGUGAAAU
rnacentral:rRNA from 1 species